GACGAACGCUGGCGGCGUGCUUAACACAUGCAAGUCGAGCGGACAGGCCCUUCGGGGUCUUCUAGCGUCGAACGGGUGAGUAACACGUGAGUAACCUGCCCCAGACUUUGUGAUAACCCUCGGACUCGGGGGCUACUACCCUAUACGCCACUGCUUCUCUUGGGGUCUUUGUGGAAAGUUUUUCGGUUUUGGAUGGGCUCGCGGCCUAUCAGCUUGUUCGUGAGUUGCUGGCAGACCAAGGCGCCGACGGGUAGCCGGCCUGUGAGGGGGACCGGCCACACUGGGACUGAGAGACGGCGCAGACUCCUACGGGAGGCAGCAGGGGGGAAUAUUGCACAAUGGGCGGAAGCCUGAGGCAGAGACGCUGCGAGAGGGAUGACGGCCUUCGGGUGGUAAACCUAUGUCAGCAGGGACGAAGAGUAAGUGACGGUACCUGCAGAAGAAGCGCCGGCUAACUACGUG
rnacentral:rRNA from 1 species